rnacentral:tRNA from 2 species
GCUGUGGUGGCGGAAUUGGUAUACGCGCUGCGUUCAGGGCGCAGUUCCCUCAGGGAUUGGGAGUUCAAAUCUCCCCCACAGCA